rnacentral:rRNA from 1 species
GGAUGCAAAAGUCGUAACACGGUUUCCGUAGGUGAACCUGCGGAAGGAUCAUUCACACAAUGCCCCCCAAAGCGGUUUCAUCAUCCACUAUCGAUCAGAAAAGCUUCUCGGGAGCGUUUUGCAUUGGUGGGACUGUGGUGAUGUGGGCUGCUGCUGGAGAGCGCCAGGAAACUAGCCUAACCCAAUCAUUGAAUCCCUUCCAGUUUUCUCACAACGUAUUUUCGAAAAUUAAGGACACAAACAAUGCCUAUUUUGUGCAUUUAAUGGAUUUGAAGCUUUUUAGAGGGGUGGAUAUCCUCUUGCAUGAGGACGCGGGUGGUGGGGCUGCAUGCAUGCAUGCAUGCAUGCAUGCAUGCAGGGCUGCAUGCAGCCCCACGCAUGUAGCAUGCGUGCACGCACGUAUGCAUGCGUGCACGCAUGUAUCAAGCAUGCGUACAUGCGUGAAAUCGAUGCAUGCAACCCAAUGCAUUUCCAUGAGAAUGCAUGCUAUAGGAAACGCCUUGCAUUAUAACAAAACUUUCAGCAAUGGAUGUCUUGGCUCACGCAUCGAUGAAGGACGCAGCGAAAUGCGAUACGCAUUGUGAAUUGCAGAUUUUAGUGAACCAUCAGAUUUCUGAACGCAUAUGGCGCUGUUGGGAUUACCCGACAGCACGUCUGUUUCAGUGUCUUUUGACUCCUUCAUAAAGUAUACUGCCAGAGCAUCGGUAGUGUGCAUGAUCACUUCGAUUGUUGUGGUGGUUUCGUCUGCGCGUCGCUGGUGGUAUAUACAUGAGCGUCGCAUAAAGUUCAUUAAAUUGUUCAACAUAUACUGUUGGCUAAUAAAAGCAAUCGGUUGCCAUUAUCCUUUCGUUCACGGAAGAGAUACGGUGGUGUUUAUACUGCUGAAUUGUAUCUCGAAGGCAGUGGACAGGUUAUAGGAGAGCGGUAUCGAUUGUGUUUUUUUUGGGGUUCAACAGAAUAAUAGACCUGAAAUCAGUCGAGGUUACCCGCUGAAUUUAAGCAUAUUAUUAAGCGGAGGA